rnacentral:rRNA from 1 species
GUGUCAGCAGCCGCGGUAAUACAGAGGGUGCAAGCGUUGUCCGGAAUGAUUGGGCGUAAAGCAUCUGUAGGUGGUUUCUAAAGUCAACUGUUAAAUCCCAGAGCUCAACUUUGGCCAAGCAGUUGAGUACUUAGAGACUUGAGUACGUUAGGGGUAGAGGGAAUUCCUUGUUUAGCGGUGAAAUGCAUAGAGAUAAGGAAGAACACCAGUGGCGAAAGCGCUCCACUGGGCCGUAACUGACACUGAGAGAUGAAAGUUAGGGGAGCGAAACUGAUUAGAUACCCUUGGAGUCCUAACUGUAAACGAUGGAUACUAAGUGCUGUCAAAAACAGUGCUGUAGCUAACGCGUUAAGUACCCCGCCUGGGGAGUAUGCUCGCAAGAGUGAAACUCAAAUGAAUUGACGGGG